rnacentral:rRNA from 1 species
CACUGUCACUCCUACGGGAGGCAGCAGUGGGAAUAUUGCACAAUGGGCGCAAGCCUGAUGCAGCCAUGCCGCGUGUGUGAAGAAGGCCUUCGGGUUGUAAAGCACUUUCAGUCGUGAGGAAGGUAGUGUAGUUAAUAGCUGCAUUAUUUGACGUUAGCGACAGAAGAAGCACCGGCUAACUCCGUGCCAGCAGCCGCGGUAAUACGGAGGGUGCGAGCGUUAAUCGGAAUUACUGGGCGUAAAGCGCAUGCAGGCGGCCAAGUCAGUCAGAUGUGAAAGCCCCCGGGCUUAAACCUGGGAAUUGCAUUUGAAACUGCUUGGCUAGAGUCCUUGAGAGGGGGUAGAAUUUCAGGUGUAGCGGUGAAAUGCGUAGAGAUCUGAAGGAAUACCAGUGGCGAAGGCGGCCCCCUGGCAAGAGACUGACGCUCAGAUGCGAAAGCGUGGGGAGCAAACAGGAUUAGAUACCCUGGUAG